rnacentral:rRNA from 1 species
GAUGAACGCUGGCGGCGUGCCUAAUACAUGCAACUAGAACGCUGAAGGAGGAGCUUGCUCUUCUGGAUGAGUUGCGAACGGGUGAGUAACGCGUAGGUAACCUGCCUGGUAGCGGGGGAUAACUAUUGGAAACGAUAGCUAAUACCGCAUAACAGUAGAUAUUGCAUGAUAUCUGCUUGAAAGGUGCAAUUGCAUCACUACCAGAUGGACCUGCGUUGUAUUAGCUAGUUGGUGAGGUAACGGCUCACCAAGGCGACGAUACAUAGCCGACCUGAGAGGGUGAUCGGCCACACUGGGACUGAGACACGGCCCAGACUCCUACGGGAGGCAGCAGUAGGGAAUCUUCGGCAAUGGACGGAAGUCUGACCGAGCAACGCCGCGUGAGUGAAGAAGGUUUUCGGAUCGUAAAGCUCUGUUGUAAGAGAAGAACGAGUGUGAGAGUGGAAAGUUCACACUGUGACG